AUUGAACGCUGGCGGCAUGCCUAACACAUGCAAGUCGAACGGCAGCACAGUAACUUGUUGCUGUUGCCGAUUGGCGAACGGGUGAGUAAUACGUCGGCAUCGGUCCCUUCGUUUUGGAUAGGCCUGAGGAAGCCGGACUUACUCCGCUAACGCAUACCAUAUGACAGUGAGGGCAGUGGAGCUUCUGCGCUUUCGCGAUUGCAGUAGGCGAUGUCGCAUUAGCUAGGUGGGGGGGUAAAGGCCUACCAAGGCGACGAUCAGUAGCUGGUCUGAGAGGAUGAUCAGCCACACUGGAACUGAGACACGGACCAGACUCCUACGGGAGGCAGCAGUGGGGAAUGUUGGACAAUGGGCGCAAGCCUGAUCCAGCAAUACCGCGUGUGUGAAGAAGGCCUUCGGGUUGUAAAGCCCUUUUGUUCGGAAAGAAAAGCUUGAGCCUAAUACGAAGCGGGUAUGACGGUACCGGAAGAAUAAGCACCGGCUAACUACGUG
rnacentral:rRNA from 1 species